rnacentral:rRNA from 1 species
GAUUAACGCUGGCGGCGUGCAUAACACAUGCAAGUCGAACGAUGAAACUUAACUGAUUUCUUCGGAAUGAUUUUAAGUGGAUUAGUGGCGGACGGGUGAGUAACGCGUGAGUAACCUGCCUUGGAGAAGGGGAUAGCCUUUGGAAACGAAGAAUAAUACCCUAUGAUAUGAUAAUAUCUCAUGAUAUUAUCAUCAAAGAUUUAUCGCUCUAAGAUGGACUUGCUUCUGAUUAGUUAGUUGGUGAGGUAACCGCUCACCAAGGCAGCGAUCAGUAACCGGAUUGAGGUCGCGUACCGCAACAUUGGGAGUGGGACAAGGACCAGACUUCCACGGGAGGGCGCAGUGGUGAAUGUUGAACAAUGGGGGAAAGCCUGAUGCAGGCACGUCGUGAGAUUUAGAAGGUCUUCAGGAUGAAAAAAUCAUUUGUAUGGGAAGAAAAUGACAGUACCAUACGAAUAAGGACCGGCUAAUUACGUG